rnacentral:rRNA from 1 species
UACAGAGGUCCCAAGCGUUGUUCGGAUUCACUGGGCGUAAAGGGUGCGUAGGCGGCCGGGUAAGUCUGAUGUGAAAUCCCGCAGCUCAACUGCGGAACUGCAUCGGAUACUCUCCGGCUAGAGGAAUGGAGGGGAGACUGGAAUUCUCGGUGUAGCAGUGAAAUGCGUAGAUAUCAGGAGGAACACCGGUGGCGAAGGCGGGUCUCUGGGCCGAUACUGACGCUGAGGAGCGAAAGCGUGGGGAGCGAACAGG